rnacentral:rRNA from 1 species
CCUACGGGAGGCAGCAGUGAGGAAUAUUGGUCAAUGGACGAGAGUCUGAACCAGCCAAGUAGCGUGAAGGAUGACUGCCCUAUGGGUUGUAAACUUCUUUUAUAAAGGAAUAAAACGAGGCACGUGUGCCUUUUUGCAUGUACUUUAUGAAUAAGGAUCGGCUAACUCCGUUCCAGCAGCCGCGGUAAUACGGAGGAUCCGAGCGUUAUCCGGAUUGAUUGGGUUUAAAGGGAGCGUAGAUGGGUUGUUAAGUCAGUUGUGAAAGUUUGCGGCUCAACCCUAAAAUUGCAAUUGAUACUGGCAGUCUUGAGUACAGUUGAGGUAGGCGGAAUUCGUGGUGUAGCGGUGAAAUGCUUAGAUAUGACGAAGAACCCCGAUUGCGAAGGCAGCUUACUAAACUGUGACUGACAUUGAUGCUCGAAAGUGUGGGUAUCAAACAGGAUUAGAUACCCUUGUAGUC